rnacentral:lncRNA from 1 species
CAGCAUGGAUGGCUUGCAGGAUCCUUCUCAUCGCAUUGUGUCCUCUCAUGACAUAUCAGCUUCUGUUGAAGAAUCUGUCAACCAAGAUCAUGUGCACUGCAUUCUUGGUAUGUAAACUUCUUUAUCCAUUUUAAUCUUGUCCUUUUUGCUUUGUUUACUGUUUGUUAGUUAUUCUUUCAAUUUAUUGCUUUUACGAAUUUGUGCUUUAGGUCAUUAGAGUUUGAUAUCAUUUUACAUCAUUACUCAACUAGAUUCUAGGACUUUGUGUUGGCUAGUUCUGGAAUUCUAUGCAGUUGUAUGAUGAGAGGAUGUAUAGUAGAGAGUCUGGAACUUGGUUUAAUGGUGUCUUUUCAACCUUUUGACAUUGACUUAUUCCAAAAAUGUGCUUUUGAACUCAAGAGACUGUCUAAAAUUGCAGAAGCGGAUAUUAGCCUAUUACAUCUUGUGUCUCAAGUUUCUUAUGAAUUCUUCCCAGGAUGUGUAUCAUUUUAGAUUUCUUUGUUGAUAUUUGCCUCACUUUUUUCCAAUUGAACCAAUAAUAAGCCAAGACGAUGCACAUUUCACAUUUAAUACUCUGAACUUUCAAUAAGUUUCUGUUUCUUUGCGCCUGUUCUUAAUUGAUUUUGAUUCUUGUAAAAGCUGAUCUUAGAAAAGCUUAAAAUUGAAAUCAAAAGGCAUGUCUCUACUAGCUUCUGAUUUUGGCUUUUCAUAGUUUAAAAAAGUCAAAGGCUGAAAGAAGAGUCUUUGAGAUCAUCUUAUGACACAUUUUUCAAAUUGAGAAGCUAAAAGCAGGUCCAGCAAUUGACUUGGGAACAGGCCCAUCGUGACUGAAGUCAAAGUGCUAGGGAUUUCGUUUAAAGCUCAUCAGCUGCUGCAAUAGACUGAGUUUAGAAGGCUGAGUUUAUACUACAUUAACCCUUCCUUCAUGUUUUAUAAACACUAGCGGGAAUAGCCACACCCUAGGGCGUGCAAAUUAAGAAAAAAAUUAAGUUAUUUUUAUUAAAACCAAUGGAAGUUAUUAGAAGUUUUAUUUAUUUAUUUUUUGUUGCAUACCAAGAAAAAAUUGAAUUCUCUUUGCAAAAAAAAAAAAAAAGUUAUUGGAAGUUAAAAUAGUGGAAGUUAUUGGAAGUUACUGAACUUUAGUAGUUAUCUUUAGUAAAUCUUACUUUUGUGAGGGUAAAAUUGAAAAAAUAAAAGAUGACAAAAUAUUUUUACACCAAACCCGUGCUUCAUUGCUUUUAUAUGGAAAGAUGUUCUGGCUAAAUAAGAUGCAUAUGAUGCACCUUUCCGAGAAACUUCAGCAAUUAUGCUUUUCGUGCAGAAGAAACCUCAUGGUUUUAACUUCCAAAGAAUAAAUGAAAGCCAAUGUUGAGAAUCUAAUAAUUUGUGAACUAUAUGCUUAUGAGGUGGUGUAAUUUAUUCUUUAGAUCUGAAGUGUUGCACUGUACUGAACUUACUUUCAUAUUGCUAAAUGUAACACUGUCCAUCAAUUUCAUUUCAUCAAGGUCCUUUUACUUGUAUCAUUGCUUCGCCAAAGAUAAUCUUCCUUAGCAAUUUGUAAGAGUUGUAAAUCUUGCUUCAUGUAUUAUAUUUCCUGUAUGACUUCUUUUCCUUCUUCACACUUUGAUCAUGUUUCCCUGAAUACUAACUCUAAUAAAUAAAGAAAGAAAAACCAAGGAAUUGAUGCAUAAAAAUGCUGAAAUUCUCGAAGUGUUGACAGAAGAAUCACUGUCAUGCUAGAAGGCCAAGGAGACACCACACUAGGAGCUUGACACUAGAAGAAGCAACAGAUAGUAUACUCUUCUGCAGCUCCAUCGUCCACAAUCUGGCCUAUGAGGCUGCAAGUAUUGCAAUAGAGAAAGAAAACUACACCCAGUUGGAGGGUUCCAGGCCAGCAGUAACUAUCGU